rnacentral:rRNA from 1 species
GAUGAACGCUGGCGGCGUGCCUAAUACAUGCAAGUCGAGCGAACAGACGAGGAGCUUGCUCCUCUGACGUUAGCGGCGGACGGGUGAUUAACACGUGGAUAACCUACCUAUAAGACUGGGAUAACUUCGGGAAACCGUAGCUAAUACCGGAUAAUAUAUUGAACCGCAUGGUUCAAUAGUGAAAGACGGUUUUGCUGUCACUUAUAGAUGGAUCAGCGCCGCAUUAGCUAGUUGGUAAGGUAACGGCUUACCAAGGCAACGAUGCGUAGCCGACCUGAGAGGGUGAUCGGACACACUGGAACUGAGACACGGUCCAGACUCCUACGCGAGGAAGCAGUAGGGACUCUUACGCGAUGGGCGAGAGCCUGACGGAGCAACGCCGCGUGAGUGCUGAAGGUCUUCGGAUCGUAAAACUCUGUUAUUAGGGAAGAACAAAUGUGUAAGUAACUAUGCACGUCUUGACGGUACCUAAUCAGAAAGCCACGGCUAACUACGUG